rnacentral:rRNA from 1 species
AGCGAACGCUGGCGGCAGGCCUAACACAUGCAAGUCGAACGAACCUUUCGGGGUUAGUGGCGGACGGGUGAGUAACACGUGGGAACGUGCCUUUAGGUUCGGAAUAACUCAGGGAAACUUGUGCUAAUACCGAAUGUGCCCUUCGGGGGAAAGAUUAAUCGCCUUUAGAGCGGCCCGCGUCUGAUUAGCUAGUUGGUGGAGGUAAUGGCUCACCAAGGCGACGAUCAGUAGCUGGUCUGAGAGGAUGAUCAGCCACAUUGGGACUGAGACACAGCCCAAACUCCUACGGGAGGCAGCAGUGGGGAAUCUUGCGCAAUGGGCGAAAGCCUGACGCAGCCAUGCCGCGUGAAUGAUGAAGGUCUUAGGAUUGUAAAAUUCUUUCACCGGAGACGAUAAUGACGGUACCCGGAGAAGAAGCCCCGGCUAACUUCGUG